UACGGGGGGGGGCAAGCGUUUGUUCGGAAUUACUGGGCGUAGAGGGUUCGUAGGUGGCCAACUAAGUCAGACGUGAAAUCCCUCAGCUUAACUGGGGAACUGCGUCUGAGACUGGAUGGCUUGAGUGCAGGAGAGGAACGCGGAAUUCCAGGUGUAGCGGUGAAAUGCGCAGAUAUCUGGAAGAACACCCGUGGCGAAGGCGGCUUCCUGGAACGACACUGACGCUGAGACGCGAAAGCGUGGGGAGCAAACAGG
rnacentral:rRNA from 1 species